CUUGGCUUAGAAGCUUAUCUGGCACAUACAUCUCUUUUGUGAGCUAUGAAAAGUGAUGUAUGUGUAGAAGAAGAUGAGUCAUCUUAAACUGUUACAGACCAGCUUAGUUGCAAAAAGAGCGCAGGCUUCACAUUUUCUCUCAAACUAAGCAGUGUGAUGAGGGACAAUUAUUCAUUAAUCUGUAGCUGAUUUGAGCUUGGGAGUGAACCUUCAAGAGCUCCAGUCCACUAGUUUCUUCAAGAUGCAGGUUUAAAGACACCCUAAAGCUCAAGGUGCUGCAAACCUCAAAGGAGAGUGAAAAAUCAGGACUUUUUUUUUCCAUUCAUGAUUUUUCCUCCCUGCUAGCAAAGAACUUGAGAGAUGUCCCAUUUCCCAUGUGUCAUCUGUGGCAGGAACAUUCAGCAGAGCAGGAGGUGUGCACAAAUUGUUCACGGGCCCUGAAACCAGAAAGGAAGAAGCUUAGGACGUGAUAUGAAGUCCAAUACCAGGGUAUGCAUUCUUAUCCAGA
rnacentral:lncRNA from 1 species